UGGCGGCGUGGAUUAGGCAUGCAAGUCGAGCGAUCGUAGCAAUACGGGAGCGGCAAACGGGGUAGGAAUACAUCGGAACGUACCUUUUGGUUGAGAAUAGCGUUGGGAAACUGACGGUAAUACUCAAUAAAGUCGAGAGACCAAAGGUUUACUGCCGGAAGAGCGGCCGAUGCGAUAUUAGGUAGUUGGUGGGGUAAUGGCCUACCAAGCCUGAGAUGUCUAGGGGGUGUGAGAGCAUGGCCCCCACCACUGGGACUGAGAUACUGCCCAGACACCUACGGGUGGNUGCAGUCGAGGAUCUUCGUCAAUGGGCGAAAGCCUGAACGAGCGACGCCGCGUGCGGGAUGAAGGCCCUUGGGUUGUAAACCGC
rnacentral:rRNA from 1 species